UCUGAUUCUGCAUGUAUUAGGUUGGUGCAAAAGUAAUCGCGGUUUUUGUCAUUGAAAGUAAUAGCAAAAACUGCAAUUACUUUUGCACCAACCUAAAAGUAGUCACUGUCUUCAGAUA
ensembl:miRNA MIR548H3 microRNA 548h-3